UCUAUGGAGUAAUCGAUAUAGAAAACAAACCGUAUAAGAACUUCGGGGGUUGAGCAUUUAUUUGCUAAAAGUUCUUGUAAGACUACUUAUUAGUCCAUUUUACUUGGUUUUGAGAGAUCAUUUCUCUCAAUUUUGUUCUUUGAAAACUAGAUAAUGUAAAAUUUGAGUAGUCUAAUUUCUGUCCGGAAAUUAGACAUUAAGAUCUCAAACUCAUCAAAUUAGAAUCAAAAAAAAUGUAUCUAUAAGAUACAAUUGGU
rnacentral:misc_RNA from 1 species